CCCUUAGACGUUCUGGGCCGCACGCGCGCUACACUGACCAGUGCAACAAGCAUCCGUCCUUGGCCGACAGGCCCGGGCAAUCUUUGAACGCUGGUCGUGAUGGGGAUAGACUUUUGCAAUUUUUGGUCUUCAACGAGGAAUUCCUAGUAAACGCAAGUCAUCAACUUGCAUUGAUUACGUCCCUGCCCUUUGUACACACCGCCCGUCGCUCCUACCGAUUUCGAGUGGUCCGGUGAAUCUUUCGGACUGCGCGCGGCCUCGUGCCGUGUCGCGGAAAGUCAGGUAAACCUUAUCACUUAGAGGAAGGAGAAGUCGUAACA
rnacentral:rRNA from 1 species